AUGCAAUCAACAGCAGAUGACUUGUCCCCAUCAUAUUCUGAAGGCGGAUUUCAAAGGGGACAAGGUGAUGUGCCUCAACACCAAACCGAAAAGGGAAUUGGAAGCAGGACUGGAGGCAGUAUCAGUCAUGGGAAUGAUGAUGAGGAUGACUACUACGGCAAUGAGGGAUAUGAUAACUAUGGCGAGGGUGGUCUGUAUGGUGAUGAGCAGUAUGAUAACUACGCGAUGCGGAAUAUAAAGACUAUCGAGAUGAGGGAUAUAAUGACUAUGGCGAUGGUGAUGAUGAUUGGCUAUAGAAGCCUAAUGAUCUUCAAGUCAUGCCAAAAUGAAGUUAUGUUAGAUAUUUGA
rnacentral:rRNA from 1 species